GCCUGAGGCGUCCCAAAGAGGGGACCGAGUCUUCAGAGUUCCCCCCGAGUCCCGCUUCCUUUACUUUCGCGCGAAGCUCGUUUUUCACAGACGGCCUGUACCAGCUCCAGGUUUACAUCUUCGCUACUUCCCGCCGGUGAUAUGGGAAAUCCGCCUCCUUAAGGAAGGCUGGACUCUGGAUGCCAGGAUGUCCAAUUAAGAGAUUCACAUGAGCCCGGAUGUGGUGGUUGUCAGUCUCACACAGUGAUCAAUGUGAACUGAAAGCAGAUGGCCUUUCCUGAAUGUGUUGCACUAUGUAAAACCCUUGAGUAGGAGAGGAACACCCAUAAAUGACAAGACUGAAUUUGUAAGUGUCAUGGUAAGUGGAAUUAAUAUCAUACGAAAGGUGUUUGAGUUAUUAUUUAAACGUCUAAAAAACUUCAAACAGGCAAAUUCCAAGAAUAAUACUAUAAACUGUCAUGUACUUUUGAUUUGGAUUUACCAAUUGUUAAUCUUUUUCAAUAUUUUAUUUCUUCCAUAUUUUUUUUUAUUUUAUUUUGUUUUGUUUUUUGUUUUUUGAGACAAGGUAUCACUAUAUAGUUCAGGCAGUCUUUGAACUCACUAUGUUUCCUAGGUUGGCCUCAAACUCACAGCAAUCCUCCUGACUCAGCCUCUAGAGUGCUGGGAUUACAGGCCUAUGCAACUACACCUGGCUUCUCCCAUAUAUUUUUAUUGUUAAUAGUGCUGAGCCAUUUCAGACAUCAUGAUACUUUACUUCCAAAUAGUUCUGCGUGUAUCUUCUAAGAAUAGGAACAUAUGGGCUGGGGAUUUAGCUCAGUGGUUUCGCUGUCUGCUGCACAAGUGCAAGAACCCAAGUUUGAUCCCCGGCACCAAAAAAAAAAAAAAAAAAGAAUAGGAAUAUAUUGUUACAUAACCCCCAGAAUAAUUAUCAAAUUUGGGGACUGUAACAUUCCUACAAAAUUACCUAGACCUGGGUACAGUGGGCUGCACCUGUAGUCCCCGCUAUCCGGAAGCCUGAGGCAGGAAGAUCACUUGAGCCCAGUAAUAUGAGGCCACCUUGGGCAAUAUAUAAA
rnacentral:lncRNA from 1 species